CGUCUCUUCAUUUCAUGUUAUACACUCUCAGAGAACAAGCCGUCAUAAACAUUAAGUCCGAAAACCAAGAAUUGUUUAAUCUCUUGGUAAUUUCUUUCUAAUGGAUGUGUUGUGAAUUUUUUUUUCUCUGUUGUGAAUCUGUGUUUAUAAAAACAUGUUAUCAAAACGUAUAAAAAAGUGGCCAGUUGUAUAGAGCUCGCGACCGAGUAGAACGAGUAAGACGCAUUAAUGGUGACCAAUACAAUCAACUACUGCAUACAACUACAGCUAGACCAUCUGAAGAUAAAGUUCAUAGAGUGUCGGUGCGUGUUGCUGAUCGAUCUGUUUACGACAACACCCUUACAUAUGAUAAUGUGUCCGACGCUAUUUGUGAAAGUACUGGAAGAAAACAUGACAGCAAUAUUUCAGAAUCUAAUACUUCUUCGAACAACAAUGAUGAUAUGUUCAGUGAUGUAGAAAGCAUGUCUGAUGAUGAAACAGGAUUGGAUACACAUUCUGAUGACGAUGCAAUGUUGGAUGAGCCUGAUUUUGAUAAAAUGGACACGAGUGAUUGUUUGAAAUAUUGGGCAUUGAGCACCAAACAAACCCAUUAUUCAAUGAAUAUGCUGUUAAAAAUAUUGAGGAAAAAAAUGAACAUGUGUCUACCAAAGGAUGCUAGAACUUUCCUGAAAACAAAUAGAAAUGGACCAGAAAUAUCAAAAAUUGGAGAUGGUCUGUUUUGGUAUCGCGGUGUUAAAGAGGGCCUCACCAAGCAUUUGCGUUUUGUUAAGGUGCCAAGCACUCUUUCGCUGAACAUCUGUCGCUCACGCGACGUGAGUACCAGUGAGCGUAUGCGUAGGCGGUGAGCGUAUGCGUAGGCGCCUACGGUGAGCGUAGGCGGAGCUUAGUAGUACCACUACUACUAAGCCGACAAAACUGUUUCCUUGCGGAACACAUGCAUCAGAGCUGCGCGGCAACAAGCGCAAGUUGGCAAACUUGCGCACAGGAACCCUGGUUCGAUUCCGCGUAGCGAUUACUAUUUUCUUCUUACGUUCCAGAACAGGAUUACACUAAAAUACGGAAAAAACGUUUUACUAAAUAUAAUUAUAUUUUCGCGGAAAAUGCUCUAGGCAAUCGCUAGAGCAGCAUGUUGCUUGUAAACGACUCCAGUGGAAGAAAAAUAAAAUAAGUAGUAGC